GAAAAAUAAAGUUUCUCUAUUAGCUGAUCCACCCUUCCACCCCACCUGUCUCUUAUAAGAUGAGACAGGCUCAGCUAAAAACAUCCAUUACAACUUAGGAUAAAUUAAUUAAGCUAAUCAGAAUUUAGACUUAAGCUAAACAAUGUCUGGCUGGAACGCGGAGAGGGUGUAGCUGGUGAGUGCUGUAACAAUGUUGGCCUGACAGAGCCCCUCCCUUGAGCCCAGACCUCAGGGCUGGAAUUCAGGGAAUGUUUCCUGGAUGAAAUCGGCGUCUUCCCAGGUAGCUUCAUCGCUUGUCAUCGUUUCCCAGUGAAUCAACCAUUGUGGAAUGGCCACCUCAUAGUCCCCAAUUGAGCGAGGAACAAUGCGUCGUUGCAGCACUUUCAGUGGAGCGAAUUUUACCUUGCCAUCCACCGUGACGAGGGGCAGCGUCGGGUUUGGUACAGCAUUUGGACCUGUGUGUUUCUUCAGUUGACUAACAUGGAACACAUCGUGUAGCUUGCACGUAUCUGGCAACUGAAGCUGGUAAGAAACCUGGCCCACUUUCUUGAGAACCUUGAAAGGACCAUACCACUUUGGGGAGAAUUUUGGUGGAUUAUUCAAUCCUAGCGCCUUUUCUCUGUAAGGUUUGGCCUUUAGGUAAACAAAAUCACCUAAUUCGAAUGAUCUUUCAGUUCUCUUGGCGUCUGCAUAUUUCUUCAUGCGAGCUUGAGCUUUGCUCAGAUUCUGUUGUAACAGUGUGACCAUAUUCUCUUUCUCUUCCAUAGCAUCUGUGGUAUCUUGAGGUUGCACCAAUGGUACUGGAAUGUUUUGCAGCAGUGGAGGGGGAUAUUCAUACAAAGCUUGGAAAGGUGACAUCUGAAUUGCAGUGUGGUAUGAAACAUUGUACCACCAUUCGGCUGCAGCUAGCCAAUCACACCAUUUUUUUGGCUGCUGAAAUGCCAUGCAACGUAAGUAUUGCUCCAAACAUUGGUUAACUCGUUCCGUUUGUCCAUCUGAUUCCGGAUGGUAAGCUGUGCUAUAAUUGAGCUUGGUCUUGAACUUGGAGAAAAGUUGUUUCCAUAGUGUACUGGUGAAAAUAGCAUCUCUAUCACUGACUAUGCUAGCUGGAGGACCAUGGAGUUUGAUGAUGGAAUUCAUGAAUACUUCAGCCACUGAUUGCACAGAGUAUGGAUGAGCUAGUGGGACAAAAUGAGCAUAUUUUGUCAAUCUAUCGACCACCACUAAGAUGACCUCUUUGCCUCUGGACUUGGGUAGACCUUGGAUGAAGUCCAUGCUUAUGUCUGACCACUUUUGAGCUGGUAUGGGUAGAGGUUGUAACAGUCCAGGUGUGACCUUGGUGCCAGAGUGACCACCAAAUAAGGAGGAAUGGAAGGUGUCAAAGAUUUUCUCCCUGAGAUUGGUGGUUGAACCAAUAUAUAUCUUCCCUUUGAAACGCAAGAUGCCAGCUUCUAAUGUGAAGUUGUUGUGGCUGUUUGCAUUGAUGGACAAUUCUUGUACUAGUUUCAUACAGUGGGCAUCCUCGGUGUAAGAGUAGUGCACGUCUUGCAUCCAAGUUGGAAUAGUGACCACAGUUUGUGAGUUGCAAUGAAGUGUGUUGUCUGCCUCUUCAUCUUUGUCUUCUUCCUGGAAUUGGCGAGACAAGGCAUCGGCAACUGUGUUCUCUUUUCCUUUUUUGUACUCUAUUUCAUAGGUGAAUUCCAGCAAUUUGAGCAUUAACUUAUGCUGAAUGCCUUCCAACAAUCUUUGGCUAGCCAGAUACUUAAGUGCUUGUUGAUCUGUUUUAA